rnacentral:rRNA from 1 species
ACUCAAAUGAAUAGACGGGGGCCCGCACAAGCGGUGGAUCAUGUGGUUUAAUUCGACGCAACGCGAAGAACCUUACCUGGGCUUGAAGUGCUAGUAGUAGUUUCCCGGAAACGGGGAACGAACCGUCAAGUCGGUUGCUAGCAGAGGUGCUGCAUGGCUGUCGUCAGCUCGUGUCGUGAGAUGUUGGGUUAAGUCCCGCAACGAGCGCAACCCUUAUUCCAUGUUGCUAACCCCGCAAGGGGUGCACUCUUGGAAGACUGCCUCGGAUAACGGGGAGGAAGGUGGGGACGACGUCAAGUCAUCAUGGCCUUUAUGUCCAGGGCUACACACGUGAUACAAUGGCCGGCACAGCAGGAUGCAAUACCGCAAGGUGGAGCAAAUCCCUAAAACCGGCCCCAGUUCAGAUUGUGGGCUGCAAUUCGCCCACAUGAAGUCGGAAUCGCUAGUAAUCGCAGAUCAGCAGGCUGCGGUGAAUACGUUCCCGGGCCUUGUACACACCGCCCGU